rnacentral:rRNA from 1 species
AGACCCCGUGAACCUUUACUAUAGCUUGACACUGAACAUUGAGCCUUGAUGUGUAGGAUAGGUGGGAGGCAUCGAAGCGUGGACGCCAGUCUGCGUGGAGCCAACCUUGAAAUACCACCCUUUAAUGUUUGAUGUUCUAACUCGGCCCCGUAAUCCGGGGUGAGGACAGUGUCUGGUGGGUAGUUUGACUGGGGCGGUCUCCUCCCAAAGAGUAACGGAGGAGCACGAAGGUU